CUCUGUCUUACAUGGGGGCUUGUCUCUUCUGAUAAACUAAGCAUGUUCGGUAUUGACUUCAAGUACAAACUGACAUACAUUUUGGAUUAACAGGAAAUAACCAGCAGUUUGGCAUCAAUAGCUUAUUUCAACAGGUGAUCAUUCUGCCAAUUAAUUUUUUGUGUGCCACGAAACAAAUUUCCCACUCCCAAAUAGUUUGCCUUGUGGCAGAUUUUAAAACCCACCCAUGAGAAUGUCUAUAUGCAUUAUUUUUGAUUUGGAUUCGUUAAUAUUGAAUCCGGCCACUUUGCCUAAUUGUGUAGUUCUUUCAUUAAUACAUGUAUUGGAUCUUUUGGAUUCAAAAGCAUAAUUACUACAUCGUCUGCAAAGAGACUUAUUUUAUGCAUUUCCUUUUUUAUUUCUGUUCCUUUUAUGUACAGAUUAUUUUUAAAUGAAGAUGGCUAAUGGUUCAAUUGAGAGGGCAAACAGGACAGGCAACGGGGGGCAUCCCUGUCAUACCCCCCCCCUUGGAAUAGAGAAAUCUUUGGAAUCUAUACCAUUCAUCCUGACUUAAGCAUAUAACUCCUUGAAAUACAAAUGUCUUCCAGAUAGAUUGCCCAUAAAGUUAUAUAUGUUUCCAUAUUGGAUAUUAGGGCUCGUUACACUGAUCAACACAACUGAUUAUUUAAAUAUGUAUUUAGUAGAUACAUAUGUGAUUAACCCACUACCACACACCUGAUUCAAACAUAAUCAGGUUACUUGGAGGCAGAUAAUGGAGUAUUCCUUUAAAAAGAUAACUAUCACCUUAUCAGUUACUUUCUUAGCUAGACCUCCCACAUGCCAAUAAAUUAACCUACAAUGAAGGUCUGGAGUAAUUCUCCAGAGGAUAUAUAGUUAUCCUCCUUGGCUAUUAUAGUAUCAUCCAUGUCAAGGCAACACACAUUUGAAUUCCUGAUUUGGUAUAAUGGUAGUAGUUUGUGGUUGAUAAUUAAGACCAAUUUCGUCCAUCUCUUUAAAAUCUCCUCUCCACUCAAGAAGGGGUAGAGCACCCUUGGUUGUCCUUUGGGGGUAAAAGUACAGAUAAGAGCAAAAGUGGAGCUUAAGUAUAUAAACUGUUGGUCCCAGAUAUGUAUUGCUUUAAACCCUAGGUGCAUGAAAAGAGUAACUCACACCAAUUCUCCCAUCUCCAGAACUCGCUUUCCUGUGGGUGGGACUCAUUCUAAAAUAGAGAUGAGAGGAACAGACAGGAGGCAGAAAAACCCAGACCUACCUCUGUAAUUCUUCAGUGUUAGCUGACGUUUGGGCAGGGGGCGGGGGAGGCAGGCAAGACGUUUCUUUUCUCCAGACUUUGGUGCAAAGUGGCAGCUCUCUCAUAGCCUAUCGCUUAAAACUGAUGAAUGAUUUUGGCUCUGUGGAGAAUAAAAACAAUAUUAAAGUGGUCCUUGCCACCCAAUAAAAUAGAUAACUGUUGAGGCAGCAGCUGUAUUAAAACCAGAGGCGUAGGCACUAAUCACAUAAAAAGGGAAAAGAAAACAAACUCAGUUAAAACUGAGGAGCUCAGCCAAAAACAUCCUUGCCACCAUCCUAACCAGAAGUCAACAGGUGAUAUGCAACAGGUUACUGCAGUGCUGGAAAAAAAGAUGUAUACAACUGGCACUGAGCCUCCAGUGAAACGGGCACCAGAAGUAGUUAAGAACAUUCCUGGGUGGGUGGGGAGGAUGGAAGCCUGGAAGGAAGUAUUGGGUAUAGCAGAAAGUAGAGACUGAUUCACCAACCUUAAAACAGCAAAACAAUUUGUGAACCCCACUGAAGUACACCAAUAGGAAUCCUGUACUGCCCCUAUUGCCCAACUUCCAGAACAUGUACUCAGAAAACUGGGUCUUCCCAAUAGGACGCCUGGUGCAGACUAAUGAUUUCCUAAAAAUCACUGCAACCCCCCUUCCCCACCCACAUGACCUGGGUUGCUGUGCGUAAGAGAUCUGCUUCAUUCAACCAGGUCUCUGUCACACAUGCCAGGUCAAAUCCUUGAUCCACAAUCAGGUCGUGGAUGGCAGUGGUUUUAUUCAUCAUUGACCUGGCAUUGCACAGCAACACUUUCAGGUCAUCUGGGUUUCCCUUGCUGAUUCCAGUAUCCUUCCGGUCAGGACCAAACCUGGAGGCAGGGAUAGUCCUCAAACAACGACUAAGCCUGCCUCCUCGGUAAUGACAUGGUCUGGUCUUAGCAUAACUCCUCCUCCUGCCCGUGAUCACUGAGAUCGGGUCUCCCAAUACAUCCCCCUCUGUGGAACCUGCCCCAGCCAUUCUAUUGGCUGAGGCCCACUCCCAGGCAGCCCUGACCCUUCCCCUUAAAAUGCAAAAUACAAACUAUAUAGUAACUUAACAGAAUAACAAAAAUAAAAACAAAGCAAGAAACAAUAGUGCUCAAAUUAAACUACUCCCCACCCUGUCUAAAUACUUAUCCCACCCCAAGCAGAAAUAAAAUAAUAAAAUAAAAUAAUAUUAUACGAAACAACCACCACCAUUUAAGGUGCAGCAAAUUAAAAGCACUUAAAACAUUUUAAACCAUGUUUGUCCCUUGCUGCAGGCCUCUAAGCUGUAGUGAUGAGUGCAGGCCCCGCCCCCAGGCCAGAUGGAGUUGGCAGGAGAGGGAGCGGUCUUCCCAGCACUCACGCGAGCAGCAGCAGCAAUGUCCCGGAGGCCUGGGUUUGCAGUUGAUACAAUUAAAUUUGGUGGUGGUUGAGGGUUAUAUCAUGCAUGCUGGCAUGUGCACAGAGUGCAGUCAGCCCGAGAAGUAUGUAAUUGAACUCGGGACACUGUUCAUAGAAGAAAUAUGCCGGACAGCUCAGUAAGGUCAGCAAGGACAGUAUAUUUUACUGACUGGUAGUAGAAUAACUAUGUUCAAGUAGAAAGUGAUUCUGCCUGUGCCUGCCUUUCAUUCCACAAAGAAACAAAGGUCUUUCCAGCAAAGAAAGUAGAGAUCCAACAGAGAUUCAUCACAAGAAGCCUAUCAUCACCUGAACCCUAUCAGCUUGUUACAAACACAUGGCUAAUUAUACUCUGACUUUUGCCUCUGAUUCACACCUCCCAUUAAUCAGCCAUGACUUGGCUUUUUCUUGGCAAGCAUAAAGUUACAAACCCCAAAAUAGGGACUAUGCAAAUGUAAUGGGAAUGCAAAUGGUGGCUAAUACUCAGUAAACUCUGAUGUGGGUGGGUCCCUAGGAAAAAACCAAAAAAUAAUAAUCUUUUUUUCCCCUUCCAACUCUGAAGACAGUGGAAGGUUGGGGUCACCAUAAAGAGGUUCCACAUUCAAAAUAUAGACAGUAGCAAUUCAUGAUGGAGGCAGGAAGCCUGAAGAUCCUUAAAAUGUUAGAGGAUUAAACAAUUUAGAUUGAAGGACAAAAACAAAUAAUGGAAUGAAGCAUAUGUAGGGUGAAGGGAAAGAAGAAUCCUUUCUUUCAUUAUUCCCUAUGAAAUUGACAAUGAUCAGAAUCUGUAUUAAUAUGCAAUGAGUACUUUUACUAAAUCCACACAGGCCCAGUUAAUACGAAACUGAUAGUGAAUUUGAAAUGAAUUCUGAACUGUAGGAACAGAUAUUUGAAUAACAAAAUAAUGUAGGACUGAGAAUUAUCUUUACAAGCCACAUUUUCACAAUAAUGAAUAAACUUGGGGUUUGAAAUUGUUUUUCAGAAAGUAUUUUUAACAAUAUUGGAACACAACACAAUGAUGGACUUUUCAGUUUUGCAGUCUGUGUACACAUCAGUAAUGCACACUAAAUAAAACAAGAGACUUUAGUUGUCUGGACAAUAUUCUUUUUAAAGUUACAGUGGUCAGUUUAAAGGGACAAUGUCUAUUGCCUUUCUUUACCUAAUAUGUAAACAUUAUGAACUUGAUUUCACUUCUUUACUUAGAUGGGUACAAGAGCACUUGUGCAAUUAUGGCAGACAAGAAAACAGUAUUUCUUUUACAAAUCCUGAACUUUGUAAUAAUUCUAUCAAUAUUGUUUGUCGCAACAACCUGAAAUUUGAUCCAAAGAAUCGAUGUGUUGAUAUAAUGGCCAAAUACCAGAAAGAUCCAAUGAAAAUGGGUAAAAUGCAAAGGAUUUUUGAAAAGUCAAUUUGAGGGACAAGUUUCAUCUGUUUGCAGUUGCUUUUUGCACACCCAAUCAUUUUAUCUACCUUCUGCCCAUUUUCAAAGUGCAGGGCUUUAGCACACUCUGCAAUGUGAGAAAGCCCUAAUCCUAAUAUUUGGGCAUAUCAGUGAAGCAUACAAACAGGCCAUUAAACCUUGUUUAUUCCAUUCAGCUGCAUGAAGAAGCUGACCCCCUUUUGCUCCUCAUGCAAUGACACAGACUGCACACUGAAGUAAGUUUAAAAAUGUUUUACUUACUUAUUUGAGGUCCCAGUAGUGCAUUGUCCUAUGCAGCAACAAUAAGAAAUGCAGGUAAAAUUAUUGUUAGGUGUAAUACGGCAAGGUCGCUUCAGACACAGGUCUAGAGCUGGGUGCUAUUGAGCAGCACAUCCUCCCUCUAUGGCUACAUAAUGAAAGGAAAAUAAGAAAUGCAUGACUUCUUCCCUGAUGUGGCAUGACCUAACUGAGCCUACUCAACCCCCCUCCCCCCUCCCCCCUCCCCCCAGUGUCUCAACAAAUGAAACUGAUUUGUAAAAAUGUUACAUGGAAAAAAUACGAGAGAUAUUACACAUACUUCUGUAAAACAAGAAAAUCUUUAAUAAAAAGGGGGGGGAGAAAAGAACUGAGCCUACUCAAGCAGUUUAGAACUCUGAUCAUUAAUCUCUUCAUAUACUAACUAGCAAUCGUGCAGAUACAUUUGAUUGUAAAAUCUGAUAAAGGAGGACUUGCUCUCUGUCCUGAGAAAUUCAGAAGCUCCUUUAGCUGGGACACAGGGCAGGACCUUAUCUGUUACAGUGUCCAGUUUAUGGAACUUUCCCCCUUGGAACACUAAAUUGGUAUAUUCCUUCAUCAGGUGAAUUGAAUCUUGGUAGAAAUGCAUGAAGAAUUGGUCAUUUAUAUACACUUAGCUAAAGCCCCACCUUUUAGCUAAAGGACACCUAGAUUGCUAUUGGUGUGUGUUUUCUCUCUUUUGCAGGCUGUCUGCUGAUGAUCUAUGGAAUAAUCUGGAAGGUUUGCCUGGCAUCUGCAUAAAACUAUGCUAAUGCUACCUACCCACUUUCAUCCAAAAUGCCAGUAGCAAAUACUCCGAUCAAAACCUCUUGGAAACCCUUAACAUGUAUGUGCAGUCUUGUCUGAGGAAGAAAUUUCAUCUUCACUUCAAGACCAAUUUUAGGAGAAGAACUGGCAGCUUCUCUAGUAACAAUUUUUGUUUCAUUGCCCACAUUUAACUAUUAGGCUACUGAUCACAAUGAAACAGAGAGCAGGAAC